AGCCUGGAGCCAGUGCACCCGAGGCCGCCGAAGUGCGAGGACGCGCGGACUGCCCUCGCGGACUGUGAGUGAACGUUGGAAGUGAUAAUAUCGAAGUUUCAGCGGUUUGUUUCGUUUUGAUUUAACGGUGUGCGUUCAGAUACCUGCUCCAAUUGCGAUAGCAAACUUUGAAAAUUGUAAUUUUCUCAGAGUAUUAGUGAACAGUUAAAACUGUCAGAAGUUUGAUUAGCUGGCAUUUACUUCCAUCUUCCUCAAUUUAGGAUAACAAACUAUAAACUCGUGACAUUCCGCCAUGUCCCCGCCUGCUCCGCUCGCCCCCGAACGACACCACUCCCUCCGGCUACAGACUGACUCCUACCUAUACAGUUGAGCUCUAAACAUGGUUAAGUAGUGUAGCAUAAGACUUACUAUAGUACAAUGAGCUUAUAAGUUAAGUGGAUGAACGAGAUGCCUUACUACGGGUAUCGGGAGGGGGAGUCGGACUCGGGAGGGGGGUCUGAGUCCGACGGGGGCGGGGACUCGGAGGGGGGGAUGAGUACGGAGAGCUCGGCGGGGCAGGGGCUGCCUUAUCCCGGGUUCACCCCCGUGGCGCUGCGGUACCUGACGCAAGACUCGAGGCCGAGAAGCUGGUGCCUCAAGCUGAUCACCAAUCCAUAUCCUU